UACUAUAUACUAAAAGAAAUUGGAACAUGGAAUAUUUAAAAAAUGGUUGGAGGUUUCGCCUAACGGGGCGCCCGGAGGGCGCCCCACUUCGGUAGGGUAACGCCAGACGGUUUCUACGAGAAACGCAGAUUCCGAAACUGUAUAAAACGUCCCGAUCGAAGCCCGGGAAGUCUUCGAAAAUAAUUUCCGAAAAUGUUCGAUUUCGACGAUUUUUGCCGUCGACGGCGAAUAUGGCAAAACUUUCUGAAGUUGGCAGAGCGAACGGAAACUUUUCGGGGUCCGGGAACGGGCUAUGUCGUAUCCCGAAGGACCGAGUCAUUGAGAGUUAACACAUUUUCCCACUUUUACGGCCCCCAAAUAACCGAAAAUUGCGUAAGAAAAAAGGGUAAUUUUGACGUUUCUCAAUUUCACAUUUUUUCGUUUUCGUAGAAGGAAAACCACAGAGACGUCAUUGUUGAUAGUUGUCACGUAUGAAUAAUUCUCGCAAUUUUCAUUCGAAACAUUCGAGAAAUGGAUGAAAAUGGGUGAAAAUCGUUCAAAUCACGUAUCUAAAGUCCCAAAUAUUACGAUUCGGGAUUCCGAGACGAUAAUUUCUAUCUAAAUAUGCACGGGUAUGACAAGCAUCGAACUCUCAUACAAAUUCUGCCGUUGAGGGAAGAGUGGAAAAUUGUUUGGAUUACGGAAAUCGUACAAAGGCAUAUAGGAGACCGGGGACGGUCUAUGUUUUAUCAGCAAGGACCAAAUCAUAAGUUUCAACCAAUUUGAGCUCCUAAAACGAUCCAGAAAUACCCCAAAAAUGCAUAGGAAAGAGGUGGAAAGGUGCAAAACUCUUUGUAAUAACAAGGUCCCACGAAGUCAUUUAUCGUACCGGAGAAGGGCUAUGUUUUGUCAGGAAGGACUGAAUUUUACUUAUUAAUCAUUUUGAGCGCCCCAAACCACCCUGAAAUACCCCAAAAAUGCAUAAGAAAAAGGUAAAAUUUUUGACAUUUCUCGAAUUCAUUUUUCAUUCGAAGGAAUAACACCGAAGGGAAGAAAUUUGAUCGUUUUCAAGAAAACUCGAGCACUAAGGGGAGGAUUUGAGUUCUUUCGAACAUCAAUUGUAUCAGUAGAAGGACAAACUGUCGUAAAAAUAUGAGAUGGUAUCGUUGGAUGUGUACCGGGGACGGGGCUAUGUUUUGUCUGGAAGGACUGAAUUUUACUUAUUAAUCAUUUUGAGCUCCUAAAAUGACCCAGAAAUACCAGAAAAAUGCAUAAGAAAAAGGUAGAAUUUUUGACAUUUCUCAAUUUUUUUUUCAUUCGAAGGAACAACACAAAACGGAAGAAAUUUGAUCGUUUUCAAGGAAAGUCGAGCUUUUAGGGUAGGAUUUGAGUCCUUUCAAACAUCAAUUGUAUCAUUAGAAGGACAAGCCGUCGUAAAAAUAUGAGAUGGUAUCGUUGGAUGUGGUGGCUUCCAGAACACCCAGCAAACUCGGAAAAAGCAAAAGUUGAUACCUUUAAGAAAUUGCCUUUCCAGUAUUGUACAGAAGGCCAAGAUCGAAGGCCUGAAAGUCUCCCAAAAUAAUUUCUGAAAUACGUCGUUCUCGACGAAAGGUGCAAAACUCUUUGGAAUAAGAAAGUCGCACGAAGUCAUUUAUCGUACCGGAGACGGGCUAUGUUUUGUCAGGAAGGACUGAAUUUCACUUAUUAAUCAUUUUGAGCUCCCAAAACGACCCAGAAAUACCAGAAAAAUGCAUAAGAAAAAGGUAGAAUUUUUGACAUUUUUAAAUUCAUAUUGCGGUUAGAUUUUUUAUGCUCAUUGUAGAGAAAGGAAUUCUUCGGUUUCUAUUGAAGGAAACUGAAUUGAAUCUUAUAAUGCAUGAAUCAAUAAUCAUUUUGCUUCAUUCCAACUGCAUACAAUAGAUUUUUAGCAAUUUUCAAGCAGUUGGGCAGUGUCCGGUGAUGUUUUCUUUUUACUCAUUCGAGGUCCAAGGAAAAAUAUGUUUUCGAUUAAUUUAUUCAAUGGAAAUAAUAUAAUGAUUAUUGGAAUACAUUAUCCAGGUGAGUUUUUGCAUUAGAAUUCUCUAUUUAUAGACUUUUGGCAAGUUAAUCCCAUUUUUGUUUUCAUCAUAGAGAAGGAAGAAGUUUCUUUUCAAAAUAAAAUUAACUGAAUGAAAUCUUGAAAAGCAGGGAAUCUCUUUUAAAAUGCUCCCUUCUAACUGCAUAAAACUGAUUUUUGCUAAUAUCAUCAACUGUUUUGGGUUUUUUGUUUCAUUCCCAAUUCCAGUAUGCAGUUUUUUCAUCAUCUAUAUAAUUUUCCUGAAACAAUUCAUGGAUUAUACUGAGUAAAUUUGAAUAUAUGAUUUGAUUAUUAUAUAUUUCGAAUAAAUCCUUACAUAAUUCCCUGUAUUUUAAGUAUUAUUCUUAUAGUCACAUCCCCAGUAGAAAAUAUACAUUUGCUAAAGAUAACAAAAGUAAGAGUCGGAAAAUGUGAGAUUUAGAAGAUUAGGUGACAGUAUCACAUAAGGUUUUUGAUUCAUUGAGAAAAGGAAAAGCAUUUCUCAUUCAGUUUCAUUUAUAUAACAACAGAAUGAUAGGUUAGGUUAGAAAAUUUGGACCACAGAGCACUACUAUAAGUUUUGAUUAUGUUUUAUAGAAAAACAACAACAUAGAACAAUAUUUUGGCCUCGGUAUUUUUAAAAAUUAUAUUUUUAUUUAAAUUUUUUUGAGCGAAUCUGUUUAAAUAGGUAUAUCUACCUAAGGGUAAUACUUUGGGCUUACUAGCCCAUAUCCCAUUUUCAUAUUUCUUCGUUUUCGUAGAAGGAAAACCACAGAGACUUUACCACUGAGAGUUGUCAUGUAUAAUUAGAGCAAUUUUCAUUCAAAACCUUAGAGAAAUUAAUAAAAAUAAGUGAAAAUCCUUCGAAACACGUAUUUAUAGCCCCAAGUAUGAUGAAUCGGGCUUUCCUUCAAGACGAUAAUUCCUAUUCAAAUAUGUAUGGGUAUAAUUGCCUUUCAUAAUUUCUGAAAAAGGUCAAUUCUACCGUUUACCGAGAAAGAUGCAAGUGCUUACUUAUUCAAGGUGGAAAAAGAAAAGGUUGAUUCUAUUUGCUGUUCCUAAAUUACAAUUUGUCAGCAAAUGUUAUCCUUUUUAUCAAGGUGACUAGCAUUUCGAACUACCGGAGAAAGGAAUUUACUUCUUUGUUCACUUCAGAUGCAAUAUUCUUCAAAAAAUUAAUUGUAACUAAAUUGGCUGGUGGGAAAUCUAAUAGAAUGUUAUUUUCUGCAGGAAGAACCAGGUAUGGUUGGAUGUGGUGGCUUCCAGAAGUGUCCCAAAAUAUUUUCUGAUAAAGAUUUAUCAUUUUGAGCCCCCAAAACGACCCAGAAGUAUCCGAAAAAUGCAUGAGAAAAAGAUUUUUAGCAAUUCCCAAGCAGUUGGGCAGCGUCCGGUGAUGUUUUCUUUUUACUGAUUCGAGGUCCAAGGAAAAAUAUGUUUUCGAUUAAUUUAUUCAAUGGAAAUAAUAUUAUGAUUAUUGGAAUACAUUAUCCGGCGGAAGGAAUUUUGUGAGUUCCUUUUCAAAAUGAACUGAAUGAAAUCUUGAAAAGCAUUUUAUAAGGUUUUUUUCCAACUGCAUAUAACUGAUUUAUGCUGAUAUUCAAGCUUAAUAUGAAGAUAAUUGUAUUGACAAGAAUUCUUUCAGAAAAACUGUGACAAUGUCUGUUGAAAUUGUUACACUGAAAUACGGAAUUCCUACUGCCUUUGAAAAUUCAUAGUUUGUUUUAAUUGAGGAAUUAUUCUUAUCCAUCCAUUGCAUAACUGUUAUAUUGAAAGUUGAAAUAUUCAAUAAAUAGAAUGAAACAAAUGAUAAUGA